rnacentral:rRNA from 1 species
UACGGAGGGGGCAAGCGUUGUUCGGAAUUACUGGGCGUAAAGCGCGUGUAGGCGGUCGCUUAAGUCUGAUGUGAAAGCCCGGGGCUUAACCCCGGAAGGGCAUUGGAAACUGGGCGACUGGAGUACCGGAGAGGAGAGUGGAAUUCCUGGUGUAGCGGUGAAAUGCGUAGAUAUCAGGAGGAACACCGGUGGCGAAGGCGGCCCUCUGGACGGAUACUGACGCUGAGACGCGAAAGCGUGGGGAGCGAACAGG